AACGCGAAGAACCUUACCUGGGCUCGAACGGCUUAAGAACAUCUUUGGAAACAGAGACUUCCCGCAAGGGACUUGAGUCGAGGUGCUGCAUGGCUGUCGUCAGCUCGUGUCGUGAGAUGUUGGGUUAAGUCCCGCAACGAGCGCAACCCUUGUCCUGUGUUGCCACUCCCCUUAAAAGGAAGCACUCGCAGGAGACCGCCAGCGAUAAGCUGGAGGAAGGUGGGGAUGAUGUCAAGUCAUCAUGGCCUUUAUGUCCAGGGCUACACACGUGCUACAAUGGGCGGUACAAAGCGCUGCAAACCCGCGAGGGGGAGCUAAUCGCAAAAAACCGUCCUCAGUUCGGAUCGCAGGCUGCAACUCGCCUGCGUGAAGCUGGAAUCGCUAGUAAUGGUGUAUCAGAACGAUACCGUGAAUACGUUCCCGGGCCUUGUA
rnacentral:rRNA from 1 species